rnacentral:misc_RNA from 1 species
GAUGAAGAACGUAGUGAAAUGCGAUAAGUAAUGUGAAUUGCAGAAUUCAGUGAAUCAUCGAAUCUUUGAACGCACCUUGCGCCCUUUGGCAUUCCGAAGGGCAUGCCUGUUUGAGUAUCAUGAACACCUCAACUCUUCAUGGUUUUCCAUGAUGAGCUUGGACUUUGGGGGUCUUGCUGGCCUGCGGUCGGCUCCUCUCAAAUGAAUCAGCUUACCAGUGUUUGGUGGGCAUCACAGGUGUGAUAACUAUCUGCGCUUGUGGUUUUCCACCAAGUAACCUUCAGCAGUGGAGGUUCACUGGAGCUCACAGACGUCUCUCCUCAGUGAGGACAGCCCUUUGAAUGUUUGAUCUCAAAUCAGGUAGGACUACCCGCUGAACUUAAGCAUAUCAAUAAGCGGAGGA